UUGUGGCAGAAAGCCUUCAUGCUUCAUACUAUCACCUGCUCAGCAGUUUCGUAACUGUUGGGAACUUGGAAGAACACCAUCUGUUUUUUAUGAAGCUCUCAGUCCUAUGCAGAAAGUGAUGACCUUUGAAAGAUGGUGGUGUGUUUUAACAGAUGAACUUGAUCUCUGCAUUCAGAGAUCUGUGGAGAACAUGUCCUUUGAAGCUGAAAACUCACCUUAGAACAUAUAGGCCGCCCGCUGUGGCCGACCGGUUCUAGGCGCUUCAGUCCGGAACCACGCAGCUGCUAUGGUCGCAGGUUCGAAUCCUGCCUCAGGCGUGGAUGUGUGUGAUGUCCUUAGGUUAGUUAGGCUUAAGUAGUUCUAAGUCUGGGGUCUGAUGACCUCAGAUGUCAAGUCCCAUAAUGCUUAGAGCCAUUUGAACCAUUUUUGAACAUGCAGUUAGCAAUUCAUUGUGAAGUAAAUUUGCAGAUUUGUUCCACAAACUUGAACCAUUUAGUUACGUAAAAGGCUUCAGUAAGGUCACAAAAUAUACCAGCUGGAUUAUUUUGGUUGUUUUUAGUUCUGCUAGGUUUUCAUUCAUAAGGGUAUAUGGUGGCUGCUACAUGUGAAACUCAAAAGUAUUUAGCAAAUUUUGUUUGAGUUAAGGACUGAUUACGAAUACGGCUCAAGGUUAAUUGUAUCAACCUUUCACAAGAUUUUACUAAUCUGCUACAAACACUGUCAUGGAAAAAUAUUGCUGCUUUUAGCAACUUGAUGGUAUUUUUAAUUCCCUUUGGUCUUGCAUAUUUGAUAUUAACGAUGUUUGGUGAUGUAAAAAGUAUUGAAUUAUCAAUUUCACGGCUGAAAUGCCACAAUUAUUAAAAUAUUUCUGGCUAUUAUUCUGUGGUUUUUCCUGAUUUCUUUGAUGACUUGUGGCAUAUAAGUUCUUGUAUUCCAUUUGGAACUAAUUAAAGAAUGGAAACUCCAGGUAGGAAUAUCAACAAUUCAGGAAAAGGUAGAUUGCUACUCACUGUAAAGGAGACAUGUUAAGUUGCAGACAGGCAUAAUUAAUAUGCAAGUUAAUGUGUCUUCUUUAUGGUAAGUAGCAAUUUGUUUUUUUCUGGAGCAUUAAUUGUUUGUAGAAUGCAAAGGUUACAAUAUUUACACUGUAACCAAAGGAGUAAGCGACUGUUUUCUUCAAAGUGAAAGUGCUUUGCAA